rnacentral:rRNA from 1 species
AGAGUUUGAUCAUGGCUCAGAACGAACGCUGGCGGCGUGCUUAACACAUGCAAGUCGAGUGCGCGUCCGUAGCAAUACGGAUGGCGCACGGCGCACGGGUGCGUAACACGUGGGCAAUCUGCCCUUCGAUGGGGAAUAACUCCGGGAAACCGAAGCUAAUUCCGCAUAACAUUCCUUGGACCUCGGUUCGAGGACUCAAAGCCGUAAGGCGUCGAAGGAGGAGCCCGCGCCCGAUUAGCUAGUUGGUGAGGUAACGGCUCACCAAGGCAAUGAUCGGUAGCUGGUCUGAGAGGAUGGCCAGCCACACUGGAACUGAGACACGGUCCAGACUCCUACGGGAGGCAGCAGUGGGGAAUCUUGCGCAAUGGGCGAAAGCCUGACGCAGCGACGCCGCGUGGGGGAUGAAGCAUCUCGGUGUGUAAACCCCUUUCGACUGGGACGAAUGCCUCGCAAGAGGAGUGACGGUACCAGUAGAAGAAGCCCCGGCUAACUACGUGCCAGCAGCCGCGGUAAGACGUAGGGGGCCAGCGUUGUUCGGAAUUACUGGGUGUAAAGGGUUCGUAGGCGGUGUGGCAAGUCGGGAGUGAAAUCUAUGGGCUUAACCCAUAGGCUGCUUCCGAAACUGCUGUGCUUGAGUGUGGGAGAGGCGCGUGGAAUUGCAGGUGUAGCGGUGAAAUGCGUAGAUAUCUGCAGGAACACCCGUGGCGAAAGCGGCGCGCUGGACCACAACUGACGCUGAGGAACGAAAGCUAGGGGAGCAAACAGGAUUAGAUACCCCGGUAGUCC